UUCUGCACUCUGUGCUCUUUCUCCUCUCUCUCAGUUCUGCACUCUGUGCUCUUUCACUCCUCUCUCAGUUCUGUACUCUGUGCUCUUUCACUCCUCUCUCUCAGUUCUGCACUCUGUGCUCUUUCACUCCUCUCUCAGUUCUGCACUCUGUGCUCUUUCACUCCUCUUUCAGCUCUGUACUCUGUGCUCUUUCAUUCUUCUCUCUUGGUUCUGUACUCUGUGCUCUUUCACUUCUCUCUCAGUUCUGUCCUCUGUGCUCUUUCUCUUCUCUCUCUCAGUUCUGUGCUCUGUGCUCUGUGCUCUUUUGCUUCUCUCUCAGUUCUGCACUCUGUGUUCUUGACCUUUCUCUCUGUAUUCUGCACUCUGUGUUCUCUUCUUUGCUUCUUGUUCUUAAUUUGUUCUUUCUAUCCCUUCUCUCAUGGCUCUGUGUUCUGUGCUCUAGACAUUCUGCUGCUUUUUCUGCCCAAGAUCUUCGGUCUUUACUCACUCUUCCACCUCUGUGCCCUGUGCUUGAUAUCUUUCUCUCAUAGUUCAGCACCAGGUUCUUGUUUCAUGUUCUCAACACUGUACUGCUUGUUUCUGUUUCCCAGUUCUGCACUCUGUGCUAUUUUCCCUUCUCUCACUGUUUGGCUCUCUUUGCUCCUGACCUUUCUCUUCCAGUUCUGAACUCUGUGCUCUGUGCCUCUUUUUCCUAGAUCUGUACUCUGUGCCCUUUGCCUUUCAGUCUUAAUUCUGCACUCUGUUGUUUCUCUGUUUGUUUUCUGCUCUGUGCU
rnacentral:lncRNA from 1 species